CUGGGCUGGCCCCAACAUUUUUAAAGUUUUUGAUGUGUAUUCAUAAAUUUAUUUUCAUAAAGUUUUCUCCAAUUUUCCACCCUUGCAGUAGUGUUUAGCUCAUCUUACUCCAACAUUUAUUAAAAAAUAAUUCAUUCUUUUUGCAACCUAGCAUCCCGGGUAACUGAUCCACUAACUACACAUUUCUGGUCCUGGCUUCUUAAGAACCUUAUUAAGCUGAUGCUGUGGGUAUACAGGUUAAAAAGAGGAUUUGGGAAGUAUUAUUAGAGGCAAAGAACAGAAACUGGCAGCUUCCUGUAUGAGAAAGGAAGAGGAAAAUUGGUGAGGGUGGUAGGAUAGGUGCAGAUGGGGGAAGGGAGAGCACAGGGCUGCAAUGUUUACUGAGCAUCUCUACAUGAAAGUCGCUUUACAUAUAUUAUUCAUCUCCUAAUAAUUCUGUGAGGGAGAUAAGGUGAUCCUCGUCUUUCAGUGAGGAAACCAAAGCUCAGAAGGAGACUCAGUUUCAGUCACAGAGAAGGGAGGUGGCAGAGCCAGGAUUCAACCCAGAUCUGUUUGACACUCUGACAGGGACUGGCACUGGCAUCUUUCCACUGGACCAUGGUGCUCUCAGGAGAAGACCAGAGCCCUGAGACACAAGAGGGAUAGAGAAGAUGGGCAAAGCUGCAAAGUCAAAGCUGAAAAAUCUUGGCAUAGACAAAGUUUAUGUACACCGGUCCAGUUAUGUACACCCGAUCUAGGUGCGGGUUGUCACUCUGUUUGAGAAUGAAAGGUGCCUCCAUCUGGUGGAUGGUCAUAUUUCUGUAAGAAGGUGUGUGGGUUCAGCCCCUGUGGCAUGCCACUGAACUGGAUAAUCUGGUGGAUUUCAGCAAAUACCACAAGCCACAGCAGAGCCACCUGCAUGUCCCACAUCCACCUAGGAGAGGUGGUUAUGAAAGGGUGUAGAGCAGAGAAAUCUGCAGCUUAAUCUGAUGGAAAAACUCUAGAGGGAGGCCGAAGACCAGAACCAGUUAAGUGAGAAAGACCAGGUCAUGGGUGGAAAAAUUAUAAAUCUGUGGUUUACCUCAGAUUACUGCAUUGCUUCUUAAUUUGGGGAUAAAUAAUACCCUAUGUUAUUUUAAGGUGUGACUUAAUUUUCAUUGAUGUGGGUAAGGUGGUGCAAUUAAAUUUUACAGCACUCAUUCAUAAGACAAACACUUCAACAAUAGGUAUGACUACUGAUCUUAUCACAAAAUAGAUGGUAAUUAAGGCAGUGAGCUCUUGGCUGGUGUAUCAUGGAAAAUAGUAGUGGAGUUUAGUCCUCUGUUUUCUAAGGGCAACUAUGUGUUUGUUGUGAGUGGUAGGCAGUGGAAAAGAUCCCUGAUGAAAUGGCAGAGGGUGUGUGGGGAGGGGGAGGUUGUAGUCAUGGUGGUAGAGUUUCGUUAUAAACACACCUCUCUCUGCACCAGAGAAUGAGGCCUAAACACCCAUUUUCAGGAUUGAUGACGGCUGUAGCAGAGCCAUCUGGAGUCAUACCAAGGUUAAGGUUAGUUUAGGGGGCCCACGGCAGAGGGCACGGGCUUUGGCACUAUGAGCUAGGAUUCCUCGCUUAUUUCAAUAUACUUUCCAUUAUAUCUAUCCACUUGUGUUAGCUCGUUGAUGGAGAGACUACAUCUGGUUCCUUUUAUAAUAUGGCCAGCACAGAACUGGUGCUCAGUGAAUUCACAGUAAUACACAAUCAGACUGGAGUACAACAUCCCAUUUUUAUUAUUUGUGAUUAUUCAUAUUUGGGAUUAGGAUUAAAAGAUAAGGUAGAUUUCAGCUGAUGUAUGGGAAUUUUCCUCUCUGGAUGCUGAAUUUCCCUUGGAAGAAAAAAAUGGAACCCAAAUGAUGAGUAUGUCAUGAUACAUGAUGAAAUGUAUCAUAAAACAAAAAAUUGAUUUUUCUGGUCAGCGUGGCCCAUAUUGUUCUAGUCUGUUAAACGUGCUUCUCUAAAUCAGAUGCAAUAGUUGAGGCACUGAUGGUUGACUACACCCUCCCCAACCACACACACCUGCCAUUCCUUUGCCUGAGUCUUAUGAAAAAGAGAAGCCAGUUAGAGAUCCACUCCCUAUGCUCUUUUUAGGUAACAGCUUAAUAAUCUUGAGAGGAAGAGAGAUGGACCAGUGAGAAGCUGAUUUUGUCCUGAUAGAAUAGCGGCUUGAGAGAGAAGCGGGGAUGGCUGGUGUUACACGUGGACAUUUAGAAUAAUACUCUGACAUUCAGUCUUAAUCCUUAGGUUUCCUUUGAGAUGGAAAUCCCCACAAUUGAACCAUGGUCGAGAGCAGCUGUAUGCUCAUAGAAAGAAAGCCCAGCCCAUGAGAAUCUUCUAUACUAGAUAAAGGGUAACCCCUGCCUCCCCCUGGAAGCUCCCUGGGAACAUGGAUCCUGAGGAUGGUGUCUAUUCCAAGGAAUAAGUAGGCUCCAGGCUUUCACGGCCAGAAUCUCCUGUUGCGGUUGGAGCUGCUUUGAGGCCCAAGGCCUGGAUUUAGCGGCUGCCUUCUCAAUCCCUGAGGCAACGUGUCUGCAGGCAAACUGGCCUUCUCUCUCCUCUGCUGCCCCCUCCCCACCUGGCUGUGCGCCUCAUACC